CGCCAGUCAGCGACCAGGAGCGGUGGUGGCAACGACAGGAGGCGGUCUCGCGAGAGGCGAGGCCACGCCCCUUCCCCGCUGGAGGUGGAGAAGUUACACCCGCCCGGACGCGGAGGGACACGCAGUUUCUGUUAGGGAUCUCAGAGCUGGGUGGUUCAGCUUCAAGGAGUCUCAUUAAGUUGCAGUCAAGAUGGAAUUGGGGCUUGGUCACCAGCACUGAAGGCUGCAAUGAGGCUAGAGGAUGCAUUUCCAAGAUGGAUAACUCCAUGGCUGGCUGUUGGCACCACAUGAGAUUCCCCGCUGUGAUGCAUGAAUGACCUCACGACAUGAAGUCUGGCUUGCCCUACAGGGAGUGAUCCUAUAGAGAGCAAGUUGAAUACAUACUUUGGCUCAAAGCAAAAAAUGUCUUUACUCAAGAAAAAGGAAAAAAGAAGUGAAUAUGUUGGCUACCAAGGAUGAAACUGGCAGCACCGCCUCUGUGUCCCAGUGCUAAGCAUUGAGCAGGGGAAAUCUAAGUCAGGGACUGAGUGAUGCAUGUGGACAGAGUGACCUUCUGCACAGUGAAUGUGAAGGCUGUGAGGACAACCCCGCCCUGGAAACCAGCAACCGACAUUUACCAGGAGACCUGAUGUCUUAAGAAAUUAUUUCCUGAUGUAAUGGUAAAAACGAAAAUAGCCUCCACAGAAGGAGAAUCCUUCUGUGUUUUCUUUUCACUGAAC
rnacentral:lncRNA from 1 species